rnacentral:lncRNA from 10 species
ACUCCUCGGCGCACCGCCCCGCGACCGAGCUCCGCCCUCAUCUGCGCGGCCCCUCACCUUCCCGCCGGGCCUCCUCGAGGAACUGGCCGCCGUCAGUCAGGGCGCAGAUGGCCGCAGAAGCGCGCCGCAGACACUCGCCGCGCCAGCCACUUACCCCCAGAGGAGAGGGGUCUCUCCCGCCACCUCAGCCUCUCUGGUAGUGGAAGAAGCCGCCGGUCCAGAUCCCUCCUGCCUGUGGGACCGCUGUUUCCCUGGCAACCAGAUGCGCGAUGCUUCCGGUCUCGCGAUAGCGGAAAGGGCUGUACCAUCCGGAAAUGGGACCGGGGCCGGCGGCUGUUGGAGCCCUGCGAGCUGGGACGGCCGGCGUGUGUCCUUCCGUCUUCGCUGCCGACGGUGGGGGUUGGGAGCGAUUUUUCGUCUUUAGGUUGGAUUCGGAACGCGGACGUCUGGAUGCUUGUGUAUCUCUGUCCCUCAUAUUGCUGUGAUGCCUUACAGGUCAGUUAUCCUCUCCGAGCACAGUUUCCUCCUCCGUAAAAUGGGAACAAUAAUAAUUCCCUUCUUACAAGACUUGUGCAGCUCAAAAAGACCAUGUAUGUGAAGCUCUAGUAAAUUUGGGGUGCUAUGGAAAUUUUAAAAAUAUGAGUUUUGCACAGAUUCGGCUACAGUCCAAAAAGAGUUAUAAUUGCUUUUUGCACCUUCUUUCAUUUCGUAGUUUCUCUAAUUCUCAGUGCACGAAAAUUAUUUCCCUACGUCCACAAACUGAUUUUCCUCACCUCCAUUGCCAUCAUUUCUCCUGCUUUCCAGUCUGAACAGCACAUUACCGUUUACAGGGCAUUUUCACAUUCAUGGCCCCUUUGUCCUCAUUGUUUUAACUAGGUACGAUGUGGUUUUUUUUCAGCGAAGCAAAUAGUCGUAGGCUGAGUUGCCGAAAGAACACAGCUGCAGUCUAGGCGAGUGCUGGGUAUAAAAACCUGGCUAUAAAUGCCAUCCCUAUGCUCCUGAAUCCUGCAUCUUAUCACCAGCCCAGACUUCCCUGAACUCCAGACUCCUUUACCUAACUGCCUAUUUGGCAUAUCCACUUAGAUGUGUAAGCAUCUCAAACUUAACACGGGAAAAAACAACUUCUCCAGAGUCCCCCACCCACUUUCUAUCCAUCUCAGCAAAUGGUAAUUUCAGCCUGCCAUGCCUAGACCAAAAACCUUGGAGUCAUCCUCAAUUCUUCUUCCUCUCUCACUCUACAAUCUAUUUGUCCUAUCAGCUCAACAUUCAAAAUAUAUUCAGAAUCCAAACAUUCGUCACAACUUCAGUGCUUCCAUUCAGGUUCAUACUGACAUCAUCUCUAAAUGAUAAGGCUUUCUGUUGGCUCUCUGACCUCCACUCCUACCUACUGCUUUCCCCUGGUAAACCUGGUUCCAGCCUCACUGUCCUCAUUGUUAGUGUUUCUGUGCAGGGAUUUCUUCCCAGCAUUUCUCAGGGAAUUUAUGUGGCUUUCCAAAUCUCAAAAGAAAAAAAGUUGCAAACUGAAGAAAAUGGGAGAAAGUAUCCUAAUCCUCCUAUGAGAAUUAAAACUUAGCAGCCGACCUAGAGAUGUUACUGAAGAAAUUCACCAAUGUCAAGUUGAAAACCAGCACAGGAAAUGCUGAGUUCGAGGUUGAGGUGAACAUUUUCAGGAACCAGGUCAGGAGCACUUGGGAGAGACAUGGCCACAAUCUCAUCAGUCAGUCUUGUUUGUAGUUGGUGCCAUGAAAGCCUAUGUUCCUGGCCCUGUGUGCCGCUGGCAGUGAGUCAUUCUUGCAAAUAAAAUAUAAAUAGGUUGAUACUCAUUGUAUACUUUAUACAAAUUCUAUGAGCAGUGUUCAAAAAAGUAACGGGUUUUGGAUUCAAAGUAAAUCCUUAAAUUGACAGUUUCCAACCCAUGAUUCUGGGUAGUACAGUUAACCCUGCUAGGAGAUCUAUUAUUUGAAUACUCCUCAAUAAUGUUCUCUGUGUUUUCCAGCAUUUGAAUAUUUGCUAUAAACCCCACUUCUUGUAAACACUUCUAAAUUUAAUAGUUCUCAUUUUUUAAACAAAGGCUUCAGAUACUUGUAAUAAUGAGUAAAGAAUAUGAAGAAGGUAGAGAAUAUUUUAAGAAUAAGAUUUUGAGAACAGCUGGUAAUUCUGAUUUCCUGUUUCUGCAUCCCAAAGAUCAGUAUCUGUCAGGAAUUUGGAAACACUUGUUGUUCCUCCAGUCCAAAUACACACACACACACACCAGCCUGAAAUACAGUUUCCCAGCUAUCCACCUGGUUUGCUCCUCUCUUUCCUCAGGCGUCCGCUUCCUCAGGAGGGCCUUUCCCAACCACCCUGUAUAAAAUAAUUAUCCCCAUCUCCACACUCCCUACCCUCUGUCCCCUCAACCCUGCUUUAUUUUUUUAUGAAGAAGAGAGAUGACAUUAUUUGGAUUUUGAUAUUAAACAGCUAGGUUAUCUUAGGUAAAUACAUAAGCUUUUGUGGGCCACAGUUUCUUCAUUUGAAAAAUGAAGUUGGACUAGUUUUGCAGUGCUUAACUGCACAGAGCAUUAGAAUCACCUGGGGAGACUUCAUAAACUACACAACCAGGGGUGUACCUGAGAUCAAAUGAAUCUAGGCCUUCUCAACUUUAAUGUGCAGACAAAUCACCGAGGAAUCUUGUUAAAAAUGCUGAUUCAAAAAAAAAAAUGUUGAUUCAGUAUCAGGUGAGACCUGAGACUAACAGGCUCCUAGAUGAUGCCAAUGCUCCCCGUCCACCGACCGCUGUUUACCUAGCGGCAAGACGAGAUCAUUGCCAAGUGCCUGCACGGUUCUCAUACACCAUAAACGAAGGCCAUUCUUUCCAGUUUUUAAUUUGGUGACUAAUAGUGUCCACUAAGAAAACAAUACCUUCCCAAUUUCUCGGGGGGGGAAGGGGCUGAACUAAGAAAAAGCGGACCUAUGAUUACUGCUGUUUUCAUUUUUUUAACUGUUGUUUUUAAAAUGCAACAUAAGAUGCAUAUAAAGCAAGUGAAAAUAAAAUUCGGGUUCCACGUAAA